UAAGGAAUAUUGGACAAUGGCCGCAAGGCUGAUCCAGCCAUGCCGCGUGCAGGAUGACGGCGCUCUGCGUUGUAAACUGCUUUUACCCGGGAAAAAACCCCUGCUUUCCAGCGGGGCUGAUUGUACCGGGAGAAUAAGGGACGGCUAACUUCGUGCCAGCAGCCGCGGUAAUACGAAGGUCCCAAGCGUUAUCCGGAUUUAUUGGGUUUAAAGGGUGCGUAGGCGGCUUAUUAAGUCAGUGGUGAAAGCUCCAUGCUUAACAUGGAAAUUGCCAUUGAUACUGAUGAGCUUGAGUAUAUUUGAAGUGGGCGGAAUGUGUCGUGUAGCGGUGAAAUGCUUAGAUAUGACACAGAACACCGAUUGCGUAGGCAGCUCACUAAACUAUAACUGACGCUGAGGCACGAAAGCAUGGGGAUCAAACAG
rnacentral:rRNA from 1 species